UGUUUUCUUUUCUUUUUGUGGUUGGUGAUGGGAUGUGGGAACAG
rnacentral:sRNA from 1 species